UACGUAGGGAGCAAGCGUUGUCCGGAUUUAUUGGGCGUAAAGAGCGUGUAGGCGGCCAGGUAGGUCUGCUGUGAAAACUCGAGGCUCAACCUCGAGACGUCGGCGGAAACCAUCUGGCUAGAGUCCGGAAGAGGAGAGUGGAAUUCCUGGUGUAGCGGUGAAAUGCGCAGAUAUCAGGAAGAACACCCGUGGCGAAGGCGGCUCUCUGGGACGGUACUGACGCUGAGACGCGAAAGCGUGGGGAGCGAACAGG
rnacentral:rRNA from 1 species